rnacentral:rRNA from 1 species
AGCGGCGGACGGGUGAGUAACGCGUGGGUAACCUGCCUCAUACACAUGGAUAACAUACCGAAAGGUAUGCUAAUACAAGAUGAUAUAAGAGAUUCGCAUGGAUUUCUUAUCAAAGCUCCGGCGGUAUGAGAUGGACCCGCGUCUGAUUAGCUAGUUGGUAAGGUAACGGCUUACCAAGGCGACGAUCAGUAGCCGACCUGAGAGGGUGAUCGGCCACAUUGGAACUGAGACACGGUCCAAACUCCUACGGGAGGCAGCAGUGGGGAAUAUUGCACAAUGGGCGAAAGCCUGAUGCAGCAACGCCGCGUGAGCGAUGAAGGCCUUCGGGUCGUAAAACUCUGUCCUCAAGGAAGAUAAUGACGGUACUUGAGGAGGAAGCCCCGGCUAACUACGUGCCAGCAGCCGCGGUAAUACGUAGGGGGCUAGCGUUAUCCGGAUUUACUGGGCGUAAAGGGUGCGUAGGUGGUCUCUUAAGUCAGGAGUGAAAGGCUACGGCUUAACCGUAGUAAGCUCUUGAAACUGAGAGACUUGAGUGCAGGAGAGGAAAGUGGAAUUCCUAGUGUAGCGGUGAAAUGCGUAGAUAUUAGGAGGAACACCAGUAGCGAAGGCGGCUUUCUGGACUGUAACUGACACUGAGGCACGAAAGCGUGGGGAGCAAACAGGAUUAGAUACCCUGGUAGUCCACGCCGUAAACGAUGAGUACUAGGUGU